GACGAACGCUGGCGGCGUGCUUAACACAUGCAAGUCGAGCGGUAAGGCCCUUUCGGGGGUACACGAGCGGCGAACGGGUGAGUAACACGUGGGUGACCUGCCCUCAGCUCUGGGAUAAGCCUGGGAAACCGGGUCUAAUACCGGAUAUGACUCCAUGACGCAUGUUGUGGGGUGGAAAGCCUUGUGCGGCUGAGGAUGGGCCCGCGGCCUAUCAGCUUGUUGGUGGGGUGAUGGCCUACCAAGGCGACGACGGGUAGUCGGCCUGAGAGGGCGACCGGCCACACUGGGACUGAGACACGGCCCAGACUCCUACGGGAGGCAGCAGUAAGGAAUAUUGCGCAAUGGGCGAAAGCCUGACGCAGCGACGCCGCGUGGGGAUGAAGGUCUUCGGAUU
rnacentral:rRNA from 1 species